rnacentral:rRNA from 1 species
AGCGUACACGGUGGAUGCCCUGGCAGUCAGAGGCGAUGAAGGGCGUGCUAAUCUGCGAUAAGCGCCGGUAAGGUGAUAUGAACCGUUAUAACCGGCGAUACCCGAAUGGGGAAACCCAGUGUGACUCGUCACACUAUCAUUAACUGAAUCCAUAGGUUAAUGAGGCGAACCGGGGGAACUGAAACAUCUAAGUACCCCGAGGAAAAGAAAUCAACCGAGAUUCCCCCAGUAGCGGCGAGCGAACGGGGAGGAGCCCAGAGCCUGAAUCAGCAUGUGUGUUAGUGGAAGCGUCUGGAAAGGCGCGCGAUACAGGGUGACAGCCCCGUACACAAAAGCGCAUGUGUUGUGAGCUCGAUGAGUAGGGCGGGACACGUGGUAUCCUGUCUGAAUAUGGGGGGACCAUCCUCCAAGGCUAAAUACUCCUGACUGACCGAUAGUGAACCAGUACCGUGAGGGAAAGGCGAAAAGAACCCCGGCGAGGGGAGUGAAAAAGAACCUGAAACCGUGUACGUACAAGCAGUGGGAGCACAGGUUUACCUGUGUGACUGCGUACCUUUUGUAUAAUGGGUCAGCGACUUAUAUUCUGUAGCAAGGUUAACCGUAUAGGGGAGCCGGAGGGAAACCGAGUCUUAAUUGGGCGUUAAGUUGCAGGGUAUAGACCCGAAACCCGGUGAUCUAGCCAUGGGCAGGUUGAAGGUUGGGUAACACUAACUGGAGGACCGAACCGACUAAUGUUGAAAAAUUAGCGGAUGACCUGUGGCUGGGGGUGAAAGGCCAAUCAAACCGGGAGAUAGCUGGUUCUCCCCGAAAGCUAUUUAGGUAGCGCCUCGUGAAUUCAUCUCCGGGGGUAGAGCACUGUUUCGGCUAGGGGGCCAUCCCGGCUUACCAACCCGAUGCAAACUGCGAAUACCGGAGAAUGUUAUCACGGGAGACACACGGCGGGUGCUAACGUCCGUCGUGAAGAGGGAAACAACCCAGACCGCCAGCUAAGGUCCCAAAGUCAUGGUUAAGUGGGAAACGAUGUGGGAAGGCCCAGACAGCCAGGAUGUUGGCUUAGAAGCAGCCAUCAUUUAAAGAAAGCGUAAUAGCUCACUGGUCGAGUCGGCCUGCGCGGAAGAUGUAACGGGGCUAAACCAUGCACCGAAGCUGCGGCAGCGACGCUUAUGCGUUGUUGGGUAGGGGAGCGUUCUGUAAGCCGUUGAAGGUGGCCUGUGAGGGUUGCUGGAGGUAUCAGAAGUGCGAAUGCUGACAUAAGUAACGAUAAAGCGGGUGAAAAGCCCGCUCGCCGGAAGACCAAGGGUUCCUGUCCAACGUUAAUCGGGGCAGGGUGAGUCGACCCCUAAGGCGAGGCCGAAAGGCGUAGUCGAUGGGAAACGGGUUAAUAUUCCCGUACUUGGUGUUACUGCGAAGGGGGGACGGAGAAGGCUAUGUUGGCCGGGCGACGGUUGUCCCGGUUUAAGCGUGUAGGUGUGUGUUCCAGGUAAAUCCGGUUCACUUUAACACUGAGGCGUGAUGACGAGGCACUACGGUGCUGAAGUAACAAAUGCCCUGCUUCCAGGAAAAGCCUCUAAGCAUCAGGUAACAUCAAAUCGUACCCCAAACCGACACAGGUGGUCAGGUAGAGAAUACCAAGGCGCUUGAGAGAACUCGGGUGAAGGAACUAGGCAAAAUGGUGCCGUAACUUCGGGAGAAGGCACGCUGAUAUGUAGGUGAAGCGGUUUACCCGUGGAGCUGAAAUCAGUCGAAGAUACCAGCUGGCUGCAACUGUUUAUUAAAAACACAGCACUGUGCAAACACGAAAGUGGACGUAUACGGUGUGACGCCUGCCCGGUGCCGGAAGGUUAAUUGAUGGGGUCAGCGCAAGCGAAGCUCCUGAUCGAAGCCCCGGUAAACGGCGGCCGUAACUAUAACGGUCCUAAGGUAGCGAAAUUCCUUGUCGGGUAAGUUCCGACCUGCACGAAUGGCGUAAUGAUGGCCAGGCUGUCUCCACCCGAGACUCAGUGAAAUUGAACUCGCUGUGAAGAUGCAGUGUACCCGCGGCAAGACGGAAAGACCCCGUGAACCUUUACUAUAGCUUGACACUGAACAUUGAGCCUUGAUGUGUAGGAUAGGUGGGAGGCUUUGAAGUGUGGACGCCAGUCUGCAUGGAGCCGACCUUGAAAUACCACCCUUUAAUGUUUGAUGUUCUAACGUGGACCCGUGAUCCGGGUUGCGGACAGUGUCUGGUGGGUAGUUUGACUGGGGCGGUCUCCUCCUAAAGAGUAACGGAGGAGCACGAAGGUUGGCUAAUCCUGGUCGGACAUCAGGAGGUUAGUGCAAUGGCAUAAGCCAGCUUGACUGCGAGCGUGACGGCGCGAGCAGGUGCGAAAGCAGGUCAUAGUGAUCCGGUGGUUCUGAAUGGAAGGGCCAUCGCUCAACGGAUAAAAGGUACUCCGGGGAUAACAGGCUGAUACCGCCCAAGAGUUCAUAUCGACGGCGGUGUUUGGCACCUCGAUGUCGGCUCAUCACAUCCUGGGGCUGAAGUAGGUCCCAAGGGUAUGGCUGUUCGCCAUUUAAAGUGGUACGCGAGCUGGGUUUAGAACGUCGUGAGACAGUUCGGUCCCUAUCUGCCGUGGGCGCUGGAGAACUGAGGGGGGCUGCUCCUAGUACGAGAGGACCGGAGUGGACGCAUCACUGGUGUUCGGGUUGUCAUGCCAAUGGCACUGCCCGGUAGCUAAAUGCGGAAGAGAUAAGUGCUGAAAGCAUCUAAGCACGAAACUUGCCCCGAGAUGAGUUCU